CCUACGGGAGGCAGCAGUGGGGAAUAUUGCGCAAUGGGCGAAAGCCUGACGCAGCGACGCCGCGUGAGGGACGAAGGCCUUCGGGUUGUAAACCUCUUUCAGCAGGGACGAAGCGCAAGUGACGGUACCUGCAGAAGAAGGACCGGCCAACUACGUGCCAGCAGCCGCGGUAAUACGUAGGGUCCAAGCGUUGUCCGGAAUUAUUGGGCGUAAAGAGCUCGUAGGCGGUCUGUCGCGUCGGCUGUGAAAACCUGGGGCUCAACUCCAGGCCUGCAGUCGAUACGGGCAGACUAGAGUUCGGUAGGGGAGACUGGAAUUCCUGGUGUAGCGGUGAAAUGCGCAGAUAUCAGGAGGAACACCGGUGGCGAAGGCGGGUCUCUGGGCCGAAACUGACGCUGAGGAGCGAAAGCGUGGGGAGCGAACAGGAUUAGAUACCCGAG
rnacentral:rRNA from 1 species